AUGCCAUCUAUCAUGGGGCCGAGGCCAACUGCAUCGGCUCCGGUGAGACGCAAGAAGACUCUACCACCGGAUUUUACCCCUCGCCAGAGUGCGCGGCUAAAUAAAAAUUGUGAUGGCGCGAACAAGGGGCCAUACCACCGCGCUCAAACUGUGCUGCUUCGUCGCAUGGGUCUAAUGGAGGCUGAAGAACAGGUGACGCAGAAAGCGAUGGACGGAUACUUGAAGAUCUUCGACAAGCCGCUGGCUCCGCACCAAAUCAAGGCGAUUACUGCUCUCUUCGCCCCAGAUGAAGUGGACUUUGAUGAACCUGCUCAUGAGGGCUUCAGUGCUUUCUCCCUCCCUGCGGCUGUGGAGCCUUGUGGUGUGUAG
rnacentral:rRNA from 1 species